rnacentral:tRNA from 1 species
GCAUUGGUAGUUCAGUGGUAGAAUUCUCAUCUUCCGUGGGGGAGACCUGGGUUCAAUUCCCAGCCAAUGUA